rnacentral:tRNA from 1 species
GGUGGCUCAGUGGUAGAGCACUUGCCUUGCAUGCAUAAGGUCCUAGGUUCGAUUCCUCAACACCA